AAGUGAGUGGCGGUGGUAGAAGAGCAUUCUAAACAGCAACGAAGGUGUGAUGUGAGUCAUGCUGGAGCGUUUAGAAGAGACGAUGUUGGCAUGAGUAACGAUAAUGUGAGUGAGAAACUCACACGCCGCAAGUCCGAAGUUUCCUCAGUAAAGAUAAUCUGCUGAGGGUAAGCCGGCCCCUAAGGCGAUGCCGAACGGCGCAGCUGAUGGGAACCAGGUUAAUACUCCUGGGCCUGAGAUAACGAGUGAUGGAGUGACGCAACUAUGCAACACAGACUACUGUUGGAUUAGUAGUUGAAUGUAUGUAGGAGAGAAUACAGGCAAAUCCGUAUUUUCAAUCCGAGGUACAGGACGACAGCUUAGCUGAUAAAGUGUGUUUAUAAGGUUGCCAAGAAAUAGCUUCUAAGCGAUGAAGUAUAUCAGACCGUACUGCAAACCGACACAGGUGGACGAGGAGAGUAUCCUCAGGCGUUCGAGAGAAUUCUGGUUAAGGAACUAGGCAAAAUGACCCCGUAACUUCGGGAGAAGGGGUGCUACAUUAGUGUGAGCAUGUGCAAUGCAGAGCAUGAAGUAGCCGCAGUGAAGAGGCCCAAGCGACUGUUUAUCAAAAACACAGGUCUAUGCGAAGAAGUAAUUCGAAGUAUAUAGACUGACACCUGCCCGGUGCUGGAAGGUUAAAUGGAGAGGUUAGCUUUUAGGAGCGAAGCUUUGAAAUGAAGCCCCAGUAAACGGCGGCCGUAACUAUAACGGUCCUAAGGUAGCGAAAUUCCUUGUCGGGUAAGUUCCGACCUGCACGAAUGGUGUAACGAUUUGGGCACUGUCUCAACCAGGAACUCGGUGAAAUUGUAAUAGCGGUGAAGAUACCGCUUACCCGCGAAAGGACGGAAAGACCCCGUGAACCUUUACUGUAUCUUGGCAUUGUAACUUGGUUUAGUAUGUGUAGGAUAGGUGGGAGGCUGCGAAGCAUGGUCGCUAGAUUGUGCCGAGCCGUUGUUGAAAUACCACCCUUAUUAAAUUGAUUUACUAACGAUAUGAAAACAUAUUGGACAUUGCCAGGUGGGCAGUUUGACUGGGGCGGUCGCCUCCGAAAAAGUAACGGAGGCUUACCAAGGUUCCCUCAAGAUGGUUGGUAAUCAUCUGCAGAGCAUAAAGGUAUAAGGGAGCUUGACUGCGAGACUGACGGGUCGAGCAGGUAGGAAACUAGGUCUUAGUGAUCCGGCGGUUCUGAAUGGAAGGGCCGUUGCUCAAAGGAUAAAAGGUACUCCGGGGAUAACAGGCUGAUACCGCCCAAGAGUUCAUAUCGACGGCGGUGUUUGGCACCUCGAUGUCGGCUCAACUCAUCCUGGGGCUGAAGAAGGUCCCAAGGGUUCGGCUGUUCGCCGAUUAAAGAGUUACGCGAGCUGGGUUCAGAACGUCGUGAGACAGUUCGGUCCCUAUCCUUCGUGGGCGCAGGAGAUUUGAGAGGAUCUUCAUUUAGUACGAGAGGACCGGUGUGGACGAACCUCUGGUGUAUCGGUUGUGGCGCCAGCUGCAUUGCCGAGUAGCUAAGUUCGGAAUGGAUAACCGCUGAAAGCAUCUAAGCGGGAAGCCAACCUCAAGAUUAGAUCUCCCCUUAGAGUCAUUGGAGACUACAAUGUUGAUAGGUCACAGGUGUACGCAUGGCAACAUGUUCAGCCGAGUGAUACUAAUAACUCGAUCGUCUUACUUAU
rnacentral:rRNA from 1 species